ensembl:lncRNA
CACAGGCUAUGUAGUUUUCCAGAACUCUUUUUCCAGCUCUCAUGAUGAUUUCAGUGAUGGAUUGAAAGAGAAAUCAAAGUGGAUCUGCCUUGGAACAAAAUACAUGAUUAUUCAGGACUUUGUGCAGAAGUAUAUGAUGUACAAAACAAACUGGGAAACCUACUAUUAAGUUGUGCUACCCUGAAACAGUUCAGAAAUAAGGAAGAUGAUUUCUGAGAACCAAGGAAUUGCAAAGACUCCUAUUUCAUUACAGAGUGUAAAGCUGUGGACAUUCAGUGCUUUUAUUUUAAUUUCCACUCUGAUAAGUGAAUCAGAGUUGUGAUGUGACAGUAACCGAUGGACAAUGAUCAUUCAGCCAAAUGCAAAUACUAGAAUUUUUAAAUGAUUGCCCUCACAUCGCAUUGAAAGACUCAUCUCCUGGAUCAUAUUCCCUCCCACGAUACAACAUAUCCUUCAUUUCAUGUCUCUGAAGCGCAAGCAGACUGAGAAAAUGAUGAGCUCUACUUCUCAGGAAAAAUGAAAUCAACUAAAAAGAGGUUACAAAACAGCAGUCAUUAAUCCAAUAGACCAGCAGACAUACUUCACGAUCUUCAGCAACUGCUGUGUGGAGCGGAGGUUUGACACAAAAGAAAUUUAUCAGUUAUGAAAUACAUUAUUUAGUAUCUAAACACUUUGGUGCAGCUUUUGAUGACUGUGACGGUCUUACUUGUUUUUCAGAUAAUUUUGCCAUAACUUAUUUGCAUCUCUGAGCAAUAGUGUAGGUUACAUAUUUUAUGGUUGAACCUAGCAUUGCAUUUACUUACAACUACAGAGACUCUUCCAUCUAUUAAUUCUGAUCAACUCUAAGCUCAAGAACUGACCGAGCUAGUAUUGAUAAGGCAUGGUUUCAGAGUAGUUGUUCUGCAUAGGUUCUUUAUUUUAUACUGAGGCUUAUUUCUUUCCUUUUGUGUUCUUUAUAAUGCAGACCUUCCUUUAUGUCAGACAAUUGAAUUGAGCAUUCAUUUGGGAAAAUGAAAAGAUGGACUUCAUUGUGAGGAUAGGAUCAGUGAUGGAGCAAGUUAUGAGGAUGAGGUGCAGCUGACGGGGAUAUCCAUAGAGCCAACAAGUUAUUGUGUUACUACAUUUGCACCAGUGGAAGCUUUUUAAACAAAGAA